rnacentral:rRNA from 1 species
UACAGAGGGUGCAAGCGUUAAUCGGAAUUACUGGGCGUAAAGCGCGCGUAGGUGGUUUGUUAAGUUGAAUGUGAAAUCCCCGGGCUCAACCUGGGAACUGCAUGCAAAACUGGCAAGCUAGAGUAUGGUAGAGGGUGGUGGAAUUUCCUGUGUAGCGGUGAAAUGCGUAGAUAUAGGAAGGAACACCAGUGGCGAAGGCACGACCAGCCUGGAUGACUACUGACAUGAGGUGCGAAAGCGUGGGGGAGCAAACAGG